GAUGAACGCUGGCGGCGUGCUUAACACAUGCAAGUCGAACGGUGAAGGAGAGCUUGCUCUCCGGAUCAGUGGCGAACGGGUGAGUAACACGUGAGCAAUCUGCCCCUGACUCUGGGAUAAGCGCUGGAAACGGCGUCUAAUACCGGAUACGAGCUGCGAAGGCAUCUUCAGCAGCUGGAAAGAAGUUCGGUCAGGGAUGCGCUCGCGGCCUAUCGGCUAGUUGGUGAGGUAAUGGCUCACCAAGGCGUCGACGGGUAGCCGGCCUGAGAGGGGGACCGGCGACACUGGGACUGAGACACGGCCCAGAGUCCUCCGGGAGGCAGCAGUGGGGAAUAGUGCGCAAUGGGCGCAAGCCUGAUGCAGCAACGCCGCGUGGGGGACGACGGCCUUCGGGUUGUAAACCUCUUUUAGCAGGGAAGAAGCGAAAGUGACGGUACCUGCAGAAAAAGCACCGGCUAACUACGUGCCAGCCGCCGCCGUAA
rnacentral:rRNA from 1 species